GCUGAGAUUUCUGAAUCCAGUGGGACUGAUUGCAAAGGAGACCCAAGGAACAGUGCUAAGUUAGAUGCCGAUUACCCACUUUAAGUCCUUUAUUGUGGAGUCUGUUCAUUAUCAACAGAGUAGAGUAUUGUGAAUAUAUGCCUGAUGUUGCUCAUUGUAGACAAUGGUGAGAGAAGAAUUUUCCAAAGGAACUUGCAAAACUUACUGUAGAAAAUUCACCCAAACAAGAAGCUGGAAUUAGUGAGGGUCAAGGAACAGCAGGGGAAGAAGAAGAGAAGAAAAACCAGAAGAGAGGUGGAAGACGCCAAAUAAAACAAAAAAAGACCGUGCCACAAAAAGUUACUAUAGCCCAAAUUCCCAGGGCAAAGAAGAAAUAUGUGACAAGAGUGUGUGGCCUUGCAAUUUUUGAAAUUGAUCUUAAAGAAGCACAAAGAUUUUUUGCUCAAAAAUUCUCCUGUGCUGCCUCAGUAAUGGGGAGGAUGAAAUUAUCAUUCAGGGAGACUUUACAGAUGACAUAAUUGAUGUCAUUCCGAAAAAUGGCCAGAGGUAGAUGAUGACAGCAUCGAAGAUCUUGGAGAAGUAAAGACGUGAAUUUGAAAAUUUGUCUGUAUUUAAUGGCCUGAACUGGGAGUUGAUAUGGCCAAAGGGAGGCCUAUAUAUACAUAUAUUUACAGUAGAAUAUAUAUAUAUUUACUGUAGUGUGUGUGUGUGUAUAUAUAUAUAUUCUACGGUAAAACUGCAGACCGCCCUUGUCCUCGGCAUUUUCACUGUUCUGUACAAGGCUGCUUGUUUUUUUAAUUGCCAAAGUCAAAUAAACAGGGAGACUGUCAUGCUCAUGCAUUAAUAGAA